rnacentral:rRNA from 1 species
UACGUAGGUGGCAAGCGUUGUCCGGAAUUAUUGGGCGUAAAGCGCGCGCAGGCGGUCCUUUAAGUCUGAUGUGAAAGCCCACGGCUCAACCGUGGAGGGUCAUUGGAAACUGGGGACUUGAGUGCAGAAGAGGAAAGCGGAAUUCCACGGUGUAGCGGAUGAAAUGCGUAGAGAAUGUGGAGGAACACCAGUGGCGAAGGCGGCUUCUGGUCUGUAACUGACGCUGAGGCGCGAAAGCGUGGGGAGCAAACAGGA